GUGUCAGCCGCCGCGGUAAUACGGAGGGUGCGAGCGUUGUCCGGAAUCAUUGGGUGUAAAGGGUGCGUAGGCGGGUUGCUAAGUCUGGGGUGAAAUCCUGCCGCUUAACGGUAGAAUGGCCCCCGAUACUGGCAGUCUUGAGUACAGAAGAGGUCGGUGGAAUUCGUAGUGUAGCGGUGAAAUGCAUAGAUAUUACGAAGAACACCAGUGGCGAAGGCGGCCGGCUGGUCUGUAACUGACGCUGAGGCACGAAAGCGUGGGGAGCGAACAGGAUUAGAUACCCUGGUAGUCCACGCUGUAAACGAUGUAUGCUAGGUGUCGGCCUUUCGGGGUCGGUGCUGCAGUUAACGCAGUAAGCAUACCACCUGGGGAGUACGUCGGCAACGAUGAAACUUAAAGGAAUUGGCGGGG
rnacentral:rRNA from 1 species